AUUGACAUGGGAGCAGCCUGGUUGCAUGGUGUCUGCAACGAGAAUCCAUUGGCAUCUUGGAUUGGAAGACUUGGUCUACCAAUUUAUCGAACUUCUGGUGACAAUUCUGUCUUGUAUGAUCAUGACUUGGAGAGCUACGCACUCUUUGAUGGUGAUGGACAUCAAGUGCCUCAAGAUCUAGUGGAAAAAAU